UGAUGGCUGUUCUUCUCACUGCUUGGAGCCUUCGGUAGUGGGAUUUUAGUCCAUCAGAUAUUUAAGCUGACUUAUCUUCACUCAGGGCACCAUGGGGAUGGGUUGGCUGUCCGUUAGUGCCUUCUGAUUUUUGCAGAGUCAAACAAUU